UGAUUUAAUUCUCAAAAACGAGUCUGUUAAAGUCCGCGCUGUGUAUCUGCUUAAAGAUAAAGUUCCUGCCACAUGUGUUAUUGAGUCAGAACUUAUUAAAGAACAAGAAUCUGACGACGGAAAAUCUCAUCAACGGUUAAACUGUUUAUCUGGAAAGUGAGAAAUGGAUAAAAAGACGUUGGUGAAGCGGCGCGCGCUAAACCCUGAAGUUCGAUGGAAAAUGACCACAUGUCAAGGAGGGAUGCUGCGGUUGAGAGAGUCUCAGUGUCCAACAGAGAAGACCCGGGACUAUGCUGUAAAAGAGAAAAUUACAAGGAGGCCUGGAUCUGGGAAACUUAAAUAACUAGUGAAUCAGACGGGCCAUGCCAAUCCAUCUUAAGGCAGUCUGAGCUACUAAAAUAAUGAAAUUAAAAAGAGAGAAGAUCUGUCUGCGUCAGUGCUUUAGUGCAGAUGAAGGUGGCCGAACAGAUUUCCCCAUGAAGGAGGUCCAGAAAGUGUACUUCACCAGCAAAUUCAACAAUGUGGACAAGCUAGGAAAACAAGAGGUGUAAUUCAUGUCACAAUUCACACCCCACAUACACUCAGACAUAGGACACAUCCAAGCACCCAAUACUGCCAUAAUUAAAUGCAUAAGGAAUGCUUAUGAAUGAGAUUUUUCAUUAUGUAUGUAUAGAGUUUAUAUAUAGAU